UCUCCCUCAUUAUCUUCUUCUUUUUUGUAAACAGAGAUGCCAAAAAUACAGGCCAGGAACCACCGCAUUAACCCAUUCUCCCCCAUUUUCCUGAGUUCCCUAUCCCUGGAUCUCUCCCUCUCUUUUAACUCUCAUUGCCCUCACCUCUCAUUUCAAACUCACUCUCUCUUUGGAUUAGUCACCACCGAGACACCACCACACAUGACAGCUUCCAUACAUACAAGACCCAGACCUUUACACCACCAUGCUACCAUCAUCACACCUUUAUCAACUUAACUCCAAGUUUGGGUUAUGAGAAUUGUCCCUUAGAGCUCAAAAGGAAUUCAGCUUUAAAAGUUAAGAUUCUGGCGACUUCAAUGAAACCCGACCAAGGGUUUAGAAGCUGCGGGGACAAAGGGAGGACUUCCCCAGAAAUUUUGGAAGCUUGGACCGUGACUAUUUAGCCCAUUUUAGAGGAUUUUUCCUGCCAUCUCGGUAAUGGUUGGUCCUCGAAAUUGGUGAAAUGCAUUGCAAGGAUCUUUGAAGCCGUAAGGCGGGUUCGACCCAACGUCAUGUUCUCACAUCAACAAGCAAGAGCCCAACUACACAUCCAAAGUGCCAAUCCCAUGGGGAGCUGUGCUGAGGUCCGAGGAGCCUUCUCCAGAAGAAUCUUUGCCCGAACACCUCCUACCCUGCCACUACGCCAAUAUGUCGCACCAACCUGGCUAUGAUGUCAUUUUCGGUGGAUAAUCAUCCCAUCUUUCUCUUUACAUAUUUUGUUGACAUUAUUCAUUUUUGUUUAUGUUUGUAUAUGCUGUUUGUACAUUUCAUCCCACCUAGCAUUUAAAUUGAUGCAGGCGGCGGAGAGGAAGUUCUGAAGUGAGGGGUUCUUUAAAUUUAACUUUUACAUUGAAGGAUGGAAGGUGCUAAGGAUUACCGCGUGCGUUUGUUUUACAAUUUUCCGAGUAUUUUUGUUUCUUUGUUUUACAAUUUUCCGAGUAUUUUUGUUUCUAAAUUUUGUUUGAUACAUGUAGCAUUGGGUUUUGAAAAAUUAAACAAAAUAAUAGAGCGAACUCAGACAAGAAUGAUGUUUAAAUAGAAAAAUUUGUUGCAGUUCUAAUUAGGUUAGGAAUGUGAUCAUGUAAAUUUUAUUAUAUCUUUGGUUAUUCUUGUGAAAUUCUAUUAUAUUUUAUACUUUAGAUAUUAUCCUAUUAAAACUGUAAUUAUAUUGGGAUAAGGAAUUUAUCUUACCUUUAGUGGCAUAAGGAAUUUACUUUUCCUACUAUUAUAAAUAAAGACACAAUAACAUGAGAAAUCAUACCUCUGAAUUCACCCAAUGCUCUUUAUGUUUGCCGCACCCUCUUUCUCCAUAAGCCCUACAAUACGCUUUUAGCACGCUCGACGUUACGCUAAAGAGAGUUUGUUCAGCUUCAAUCAUGGAAUUAUUACGUUUUAAUCAUUCUUUUAAUGAUUAACUUAUUAUUUUAUUAAAUUAAUCUACAUGAAUUUGAUUCAAUUUGAUUUAUUUUUUGUUUUGAACGUGAUACAACGCAUUGGAGAUGAAAUUUCGGCUUUUUGAGAAGGAUCUUCUACAAAUUCAAAUGCUCAAUUUGUUUUUUGCCGAUCAAGGUCUCCUAAAAUCCAUGUUUGAUAUUUUCAACGACCAUGAUGCAUCCCCUUUUACUCCCCCUCCACACCAUUGUUAAAAAAGAAGGGCAAAAACUUUGUAAAAGAUAUGGUUUCGUCCCUUACCUACAGUCACUCCGGUGUCAUUUUCUUUAAUUUCCCAAAUAAGCACAUUGAAAAUGCUCGACCAACAAAACAAUAAAGCACCUUGAAAAUGCAAAGCCACUGCAGUAUAUAAGCCAAACUAUUAGGUACGCAAAGGCACAUGUGAUGAUCUACUCUUUCUCCGAAGUCCACCAAACCAACAUCUUCAUAUAAACAGCUUAUAACCCUCAUACAUUCUCUGCUUCCUACUUUUUCAUGGUUGGCCUUCAAUACUUCUUCUUUCCCACUGACUUCCUCUACCCUCGUACUACUCCUCAGUUGAGGAACUUAGACGAAGCUACUGUUCUUCCCCUCCAAACCACCAAAACAGAUCAUGUAGCCAGCGAGCUCGAACAGCUCAAGAUUCAAUACCGUGGAGUUCAAGUAGUCAAGAUUGCAAAAUCUCCUCCUCCCAUAUGAAAGGAUUUUCCUGGUCCGAUCACCCCUUCUGUUCCACAAGGGCAGUCUUUGUGAAUGCUGAUACUGUUAGGGUCUGUGAAGCUUGUGAAGAUCAAGAUCAUGAACUUCAGGAUUGAAUUAUUUACGGGGUUUCUUUUUUUACCCCCACUAUGUAGUUACUUUGCUUGCUUGUCAUCAUAUAUGAUGUAUAACAUACUUAAUUAGUCUCGCUUUGUAACAACACCAAGAAGGUGGAUGUUAUAUGAAUUAGUAUCAUCCAGAAUAUGUGUAUGUUCAGAUUAUUGCUAUAGUGUACGAAGAUAUGUAGGGCGAUAUAUGAUCUUGUUUCUUUUA